rnacentral:lncRNA from 1 species
UAACACCCCGUCAACUUUUCGGACUUUCACGUGGGUAUGAUAUUCCCUCCGUAUCGCUUGCCAUAUAGGACUUUCUUUUGUCAAACUUCCAGACUUUCACCGUGGGCUAUGAAUUCCUCCGUAUCUGCCAUCUAGGACUUUCUUUGUCAAUUUCCGGACGUUCACCGUGAGCGGUGACAUUUCCCUUCGUAUCUUUGCCAUCUAGGAUUUUCAUUGUCAAUUUUUCGGAUUUCCACCGGGUUGGGCUAUGACAUUCCCUCUGUAUCUUUGUAUCUAGGACUUAUUAUGUGCUUAUUAAAGCCAUCUAAUCUGGUAUAUUUUAGAGUGACAUUCCAAAUUCCAUUUCUAAACCCAAGUUCAUGUCUUUUGAAUUUUUUUAUUUUUUAACAAUCACUUUCAACAAUAUACAUAAAAAAUCACCUUUUAUCAAUCAAUUAAUAUACAACAUAAUUCAUUAAAGAUACAAUUUCAAUGUAAUAUGUCAAUUAUUUCAUAGCAUUUAUGAAUAUUAAUUUGAUAAUAAAUCUGAUAUAAAUCAAAAUAUUCAAAUAAAUUUCUAAAUUCUAUCUUUCAAUUUUCGCAUAAAAAUAAAAUUAUACUCAUAAAAAUUAAAUUUUUUUUCAUUUCAAUUUCAAGUUUAAACAAAAAAAAUAAUGUCUCAAUAGGAUUUUAUAUAGACUAUAACAAUAACCAAAGUAAAACCCAAAUAAACUAACCCCCUUUCCACAAAUAGAAUUUGACAUCGUCGGAGAUGAGAAGGCUCCCAUGAUCGUAAUAAUAAAAUUUUGCAUUGAUCCAAAGUAUCUCCACCGUUGAUCUGCACCCCUAUCUUCAUGAUCAAAAACUUAACCCACCAUAUAAAUUAUUUCUCUCAUUUCUUAUGCUCUCUCUCUCUUGCUUUCCCUCUUCUAUUCCUUCAUCGAGGCUUUUCUUACCCACCCUAUUUAUAAAUUUUUAAAGUAUAUUAUAUAUAUAAAUAUUAUUAUUUAAUAUUUAAUUAUUUAAUUAUUUUAUUUUUUUUCUUUUUCUUUUUUUUUUUAAUUCUUUUCUUUCGGCCGCCUCUUCGGCCGAAUGUAUUUCGGCGGAACCAAAUUACAUUCAGCCCCUCUAACUUUUAUAAGUACAUUAUAUCAUCUCAAUUUUUUAAAUGUCCUCUUAAUUUAAUCACAAGUUUAAAUUCGUUCAUGUAAGCCUUCAAUACCACCAUAGCAAUCCAAAUUUAUAUUAAUAUAAAAAUUAAAACCUUACAUCCACGCCGCUGCCUCCACCAUACCGCCGCCGCCGCCGGUUGCCUCCUCCACCACCACCUCCACCGCUCCUCCUCCUCCACCAACUAAACGAAAUCCUACAACCCUCUCUCGAUCACAUCUCGGGCUUUAUUUCAUUUAAAGACAGAUUCCCACUUCAACAUCACCCAAAUACGGAGGCUCCUUUAAAAAUGAUACUGUUCAUAAAUAGAAAUUCUAAUAGAAAAAGAAGCCAUAUUGGAAGAAGAAAAAUACAUCAAAAUCACAGCUAAUUCCAAGAAGAAGGUUGCCUCAAAGGAAAAAGAAAAGAAAAACCCAAGCACUAAAAAAAAAAAGCAAAGAAGAGCCAAAAACAAAAAAGGCACAACAGAAAAAGAAGAAGAACGACUCCCCUUCCCCCCAGCCCUCCACCAACCACUUCCACAACCACCUCAUCGCCAAAUCCUCCCCCUUCCACACCACCGCGCCCCUCCACCGGCCACUCCUCAUCAUCACCGUACCACCUCUAUCACUUCCUCCACCACCACAGCAUCAACACCACCUACUUCCAACUCCUACUAAUUUGCACCAAAAAACUCCUACGCCCACCAAUCGAUGCAUCCUCCUCCCACCACCUCCUCACCACCACCACCACCGCCGCCACCACUACCGCCUCCGUUUCCUCACUACUCCUCCACCACACACUACCUCCACCUCUCCUCUUCCAGCACCUCCAACCACCACCUUCUCCCUCCUCUUCCACCACCGCCUCCACAUGCACAUUUUUUAAAAUAGUUUAAAAUAGUGAAACCAAAACAAUUUUUGUUUUUAAAAUAGUUUUAAAAAAAGGUGAACACAAACAUACUUUUAGUUUUGUUUUACAAAAAUUAAAUAAAACAAAACAAAAUUAAACAAACACAAAAAAUAGAAAAACAGAACGUUACCAAAACAUCUCCUUUUAGUGUUUGUAAGAAUUUUUAUUUUCUACACAUACAUUGCUUUUUUAUUUUUUACAAAUUUGGGCCAGAAAGUUAAUUUUUUUUGGUGGAUUGUAUUUGUUUUAUUGGUUGAUUUGGCCCAAAUGUGUAAAAAAAAGGGUCCAAACAGGUUGGCCCAAAUGAUUAAAAUACACAAACUUUGAGUUAACUUGGGCCAAAACAGAGAAACCCAGCCUGAAAACACCGACAAAACCCGAUUAAACCGAACUGAGUCAAAGAUUGGGACAUUGGAAACUCACUCCAAGAAGCGGGAGCUUUAAAAGCUGCAGCUAUUCC